GUUGCAUUCCAAGGAAAAAAAGUCUUCGUGGAAAGAGAGAGAGAGGGAGAGAGAAAAAGCGGAUCUAGGUUUUUUCCGGCGUGCGGCCGGCGCGUUAGCGGUCGUACCGCCGCCGGACACCGAGCCUUUGUUUUUUUUUGUUUCUAUUUCUUUCUUCUUUGCCUUUCUACCAACAACCGCUUUGUUUGACCUCUGGUUCCGGUUACAUCGUUAGUGGUGACUCGGCUUUGGAGUGAUGACGCGGUGGACUGGGGGCUCACGGUGGAGAAAGAGCGACGUGCAUGUUCAGUAGUGGUGAUGUCACGGGGGAUGGAGGCUAACACAGAUCCGUCGACGCCGGCUUUACUGCGGGGGAGGGGGCUUGUUCAGCUCCUCCGAUGCCGCUCAAGUUUUCCGGGAAGGGGAGUCUUACUCAGAUCCGUUUCUUCGCCGGCUUUUGGCUCCUGGGCAUGGAGGCUACCAUAGCUUCGAGUUUUUCGGUUUGUUCUUGUCGGCUCGAGCUAAAGUUGGAUGGAGCAGAUGAGUUCUCUAAAGGAGAUGAAGCUCUCCGUAGAUGACGAGUCGCCGACAAAAGAAGUUAGUGGAGGUUGUGUUAACGGGAUGUUCAGACGUUGAAGAGGCUGCGUUGUGGUUUUCGGUCCGGUGUGAUCCGGCAAAAACGAAGAGAUUGCGUGCGUGGUGGUUCACGGUCCGGUGGGAUUUGGUGAAGAUGGACGGGUUGAGCGGUGGCUGUGUGGAUGACGUCGUUUUUCCUAGGGUUUUCGGUUGUUGGGCUUGAGCCCACUUAUGUAUUUAGCCAGCCUUUUCUUUUGGGCUUUUGUUUGCUUUUGUAA